UUUAAAAAGGCCAGGAUUCUUUUCCGGUUCUAAAUUCGAAGCAAGAUGUUUGUGAGUGAAUGGCUGAAAGGAUAUUCGUCGAGAAGGCAUUUUACUACUCGUGUUAAAGAGAGGCAAGACUGCGCAGAAGUUGUUAAUGGAGAUCCUAACUGGUUGAGAGUAUAUGAUGUGGUGUUAUAACAAACGGGAAAAGAUGGAGAGAUGGCCAAUCGUCACCAGACUGCAAAGGUUAAACCUGAAAAAAGGGGAAUACCGUCGGAUCCGUCAGCUUCAGACACCCGACUAUGAACUUGCAUAUCACCCCUUCCCAAUAUCUAGAAGUUCCAUGUGACAUGGAAAUAAAACAAGUUGUUGUUGUGGUUUUCUGGCAUAGUUACAGGCAACAGCAGCUGUAGCAAAAGCAAAAACCGAGGGAACCAGCGGUUCCAUUGGGGAAGCUGGGUUCGGAACAGCACAAUCCAGGGACUGAUAGUGUAGAACCAGAUUCGCAGACCAGGUCAAGAAACGGAAAUCUGAUGAGAUCAUUCGGGGCCAAGCCGAGGAGGGACCGGUGAACAGCUCAGACUGGUUGUUCAAGACAUGUCAUUUUUUAAUCCAUUGUCCAGGUAUUGAUUAAGGAAGCCUAUGGAAGUUCCUGGUCAGGAGUAGAAGAGGAUUUCCCUCUGCGCCACAGGAAACACAAGGGGACUGGACCCCUCCAACGGGGAUCGAGGGAAUGGCGAUUGGAGUCCUACUGACAGAAUGAAUGAAUGGCUGAACAGAACAAAAGCUGCCAUUCUCGCAAGAGCCGGACAUCCACGUAUAGAGUAGAAUGCCCAAAAGAAUGAAUGAAAAUUAAAUGUUGGAGCGUCAAAGAUCCCCCUAACUCCCCCCUCCCACGCAGAAGCUGCAACAGAGCAACGACCAGACACCCCCCCCCCUUCCACUAGCAAAGAUGCAUCGGCAGCAAAGCAUCAACAAAUGCUCAGACUUGCAGUACCCCAAAGACGACUCGUUUUCCCGGCAAAUGCUUAGUUAAACUGGCUGUAGAAGCACUUGGUAUUGUGCUUUCGAUGGUGCUCUUUUGGAACUUGCUAGAUAAUCAGUAAUUAACUGUGCCGAUUGGGGAGCUGACAUUCAGAAUCACGUAUAUUAUCCAUGUAAUGAUUGUGCUCAGAUAUUCAGUCACAGUCUGUGAUCAGUGAUGGUUCGGUCCCAUUUUUUACUUGACUUUUGUUCUAUAUGACGACUUUAUAUAUGGACCUUACUGUUGUCUCCGAGAUGUGAAUGGCUUUGCAACGACAGUGGUUGUUCAGUCAGGGGAAGUUGUAAAUAAGCAAAGCCAUAAUCUGUGCCGAUGUUCAUGGGCCUGAAAAUAAAAUGCAUUUAUAACAUCAUUUACGUCAUUGAGGGAGUAGAUCUGCAGUGACGUUAUCUGGGUGGCUAAUGAUACCUCUGAAUAAGCAUUGUGAUCAGCGAUGCGCCUCUACCUGUUCUGAUAGUACUUUAUACUGUCUGUUGCUCUGAUAGUACUGUAUACUGUCUGUUGAAGUCACGUUUCAUUUUGAAGAACGAAACUACGCCAGUGAUCACACUGACGUUCGAGAAGAGCAACAAAACGAAUUGCCUCGUACUUGUUAAUCUUCACGAAUGACGGUGAAAUAAUACUUGUUUCAUUGGCAAGUUUGCUCUCAUUCGUGAAAUACAUUGUUCAGUAUGAAAUUAGCAAGAAUAUGUGGUGGUUAAGGGAGUUCACUGACUGUCGUGGGAGAAAUUAGUGGAAAGUCUUUUUUUCAGCAUAUCGUGGUUAUACGAUCGCUCGUGAAACGCGCUGUAAUUAGAGGAGUCUAAAUUUGCAAUGUAAACCAAGAGUUAGAAACUAAGGAAUACUUGUCAUUGGCGGUCGUCACGAAGACAGAUUUUACAGUUGCAGGAUUCACCAAAGGAAAGGGGAAAUUCUGCUGCGAAACUCAAUCAAUAAAGUCGAUAACUUCAAAUAAGUAUAAAUCCGCGAAGAGGUGAGAUCUUAUCCCACAUUGUGCUUAAUUGCUGGAGCCCAGUGAAAAAAAUUCGCAAAGAUCUAGAGAGUUCAAUAACAGAAGCAGUCUCUUCGGUCCGUGUACUCAUGCUGAACUAUUCGGCCUAGUCCCUUCGACUUGUACCUGAACCAUAGCCUUGCACUCCCCUCCCACCUAUGUACCUAUCCAAAUUACAUUUGAAUGUUGUGUUAUGAAUGUGAAGCAACUCUGAGGGGCAGAACGGUACAAAGUCGCCCUCUCCUUUUUGAGAAUCGCAAGAUCGCUAUUAAUUCUGGUCUGGGACCCAGGAAAUAAGAGAGAGACGUCCAGAAUACACAAGGUUUGGAAUGUGUCCUGACCUCAGCGAAACGGAACCACUGAUAACGGCUAUUGUCUCUUGGAGACGGAAUUGUGUAUUGAGUACUGUACUAUUCAUUCAAACUCCUCAGGGGACAACCAGAGUGGUCUGUAAGUGAGGAUAAAAGAGGGUCUCGGAAAAAAAAACCCUUUAGACGCACCAGGAGAAAGACUAGAGAUCCCACGAUAGCGUUUAAUAGCGACAGCCAGUGAGGGCUCGUUUGCCUCCUCCCUUGCCAGGGUGGCGGGCUCACCACGGAAGAACGGUUUAUCUAAAGAAGAGGUCACAAUUGAACGGCCACGACAAAAAGACACUUGACGGAUCGAAAUCAUAAAGGUUGGAAAAACCCGGAGCGGUAACUGUUCCCAUUAUAUUCCUACUUCUCUCUCUCUCCAACAAAGUGCAACACAGCGACAACCAAACGACGGCAGCUUGUGGAACUGCAGCGAACUCUAUAUUUCUACCGGUCGAUUCAUUUACCCCUAGACAACGAUAGAGCUUAUUUCUUACUGAUUAUUAUUAUGCCCGCACUUUUAGAUUUAUUAUUGACGACGUAUAUUAUCUGUAUAUUUACAUAGAUAUUAUUUUUGUGUAUUUUUACUAAUAAAUACUGUUGAAAAUAGUAUCAUCAGA